GACGAACGCUGGCGGCGUGCUUAACACAUGCAAGUCGAACGAUGAAGCGGGUGCUUGCACUCGUGGAUUAGUGGCGAACGGGCGAGUAACACGUGAGUAACCUGUCCUUUUCUUUGGGAUAACGGCUGGAAACGGCUGCUAAUACUGGAUAUUCAGGCUGCAUCGCAUGGUGUGGUUUGGAAAGGUUUUUUCUGGGAUUGGGUGGGCUCGCGGCCUAUCAGCUUGUUGGUGGGGUGAUGGCUUACCAAGGCUUUGACGGGUAGCCGGCCUGAGAGGGUGGUCGGUCGCACUGGGACUGAGAUACGGCCCAGACUCCUACGGGAGGCAGCAGUGGGGAAUAUUGCACAAUGGACGAAAGUUUGAUGCAGCGACGCCGCGUGGAGGGUGUAGGCCUUCGGGUUGUGAACUCCUUUGUCUCGCGAAAAAGGCACAGUUUUGGCUGUGUUGAUGGUAGUGGGGAAAGAAGCGCCGGCUAACUACGUG
rnacentral:rRNA from 1 species